CUUCUGGAGUGACAGCAUCAAAUGCUCGGGUAAUAAAGUUAUAAUUUUAAAUCUUAAAAAUUUCCUUAAAUCGCCGUGGAGCUUUAUGAAUUUUGUUUAAAAUUAUCCUUCUCAGGAUCUAAUCCAUGGUAAAUUUUUGACCAAUAUCGAGGAUCACCAGAAACCCAUUUUAGCCACACCUCGUGGACAGUUGCACACAAUCGCCAUACCUGUGGCAUUGAUGGAGUAAACCAUCCUUAUUAAGACCUCCAUAGUUCUCGAAAUUUUAGAGAGAAGCUCUUGGAACCGUUUUAACGCAACCCGUAAGGCACGUUUCCAAGAAUCCUUCUCUGUAAGAAGAGUUUGUUUGGGGUAUAAAAACAUUCUAUGAAUGAUCCCACCCAAAUUGCCAAAUUUUUUUGCUGAAAUUGUCAAUAUUUCUACAAUGGAUGUGUAGAACAACGAUUGAGCCUAGUAGAAGUAAAUUUAAAGCCAACACCUGACCAAGACUGUGCCUAGCAGAAGAUUACGCCACUACCUGUUAAAAUUUCUUUUAGAGGAUCAUUAUUGCAAGCCACCCCAGAGAAUUUCACGUGUUUAAAGAUAUCGUCUCCUCCAGCAAUUACGAAAAAAGUGUUUAAAACAGCCAAACCCAACGACCAUCAAAUUGUGUUCAAAUAUAAUAUAGUGUGAUGAAGAUUAUUAUAAGCCAUCAAUCGUUUAGUCCAUGAUGGACCGGUGGCAUCAGUAAUGUUUAAAUAUUAUCUAGUUUAAAAUAAAUAGCAACAAUCAAUGUGCAAAAAGCUACAAAAACAAAACCUUUAUUUACAUCAAACACCAACAAGUUCAACACAAGUAUAGAAAACACAAACAAAAAAUAAGUAAAACAACAACAUCUAAGUAUCAAUAAUUAUAAUGAAUUUUUAAAAUAUAGAAUAGUUAAAAGUGGUUAAAAUAGUAUUAAAAGAAAAAGUCAAGGAAAGAGAAAUACAAAAUAAGAAAAUAAAGAGCUAGAAAGUGAAAUGUAAAGUUAAAAAGAAAAAAAUCAAUAGAAAAGACAGUGAAGUAUAGUUAAAGAAUCUGAGCAAAACAAAGUAAAUGACAUUGUGAUUUAAAGGAAUAAAAAUGGGAAAACAACAAAAGAUUAAUAAAUAAGAAAAUACAGAAAACAAAGAAAACAAAGAAAAAAAUUUUUGAUAUAAAAAUGGAAAAAGAAGUCCCGAGAUAGUGAUGGAAAAUGAAAAGAGAAAGAAGUGAUAACUAAGAACUAAAGAAAAAGAACGGAGAAAAAAGAAGAUUAGAAUAGAAUAAGUAAAAUUAUAAGUUACAAAUUAGGUAUGCAUGUUAUAUUAAUUUAAAUUACAUAUAAGAAAAGGUGAAUGAAAUCAAUUAUUAAAAAAAAUAAAAAUUAACUUAAGAUUAGUUUAUGUGUA